AUUUUCUCUCUUUUAGAAACUCUCACCCAUCCUGGAGUCCUUUUUCUGUUAGGAUUUCCUGCCCUGGGACCUUACCUAUCACUGUUCCGAGUUUAUUAAAAUUUGCUUUCCUAACUCCUAACGUAUACGUGCAGCUACACUCUGCUUUUGUUCCUUUUGAAAUCACAAACUCAAGUUAGAACAUGGUCACUUUCCCUUAAGAAUUUGUUUUACUUCCACUUCCUCCACCAAGCCAUCUCUACUGGUUAGGAUCAAGUACAGGAUAACUACUCCUCUCGUUUCUUCCUCCACUUUUUGUACAAGAAAAUAAUCAGCCACACAAGCCAGGAGUUUGUUAGAUGGUCUAUGUUUGGCAGAAUUUGUCUCCCAACAGAUAUCAGGAUAAUUGAAGUCUUCCAUCACAGCUAUGUCGUGUUUCUUUGAAAUUCCUGUAAUUUGUUUUUCAGAAGUUUCAUCUGCAUCUUCUUGAUUGAACGGACUUCUUGGCAAGAUACAAAACUUCUGAUGACCACUGGAUCGGUCUCCAAAGGGAUUCAGAAGGACAGCCCUGGAGAUGGACCAAUGGCAC